rnacentral:rRNA from 1 species
GUGCCAGCCGCCGCGGUAAUACCGGCAGCCCGAGUGAUGGCCGAUCUUAUUGGGCCUAAAGCGUCCGUAGCUGGCUGCGCAAGUCCGUCGGGAAAUCCACUCGCCCAACGAGUGGGCGUCCGACGGAAACUGUGCGGCUUGGGACCGGAAGAUCCGAGGGGUACGUCCGGGGUAGGAGUGAAAUCCCGUAAUCCUGGACGGACUACCGAUGGCGAAAGCACUCUGAGAAGACGGCUUCGACAGUGAGGGACGAAAGCUCGGGUCUCAAACCGGAUUAGAAACCCUUGUAGUCC